rnacentral:piRNA from 1 species
UAUGGGUAAAGUGGCACAAAAUGACCACCCGU